rnacentral:rRNA from 1 species
UACGUAGGGUGCAAGCGUUAAUCGGAAUUACUGGGCGUAAAGCGUGCGCAGGCGGUUUUGUAAGUCUGACGUGAAAUCCCCGGGCUUAACCUGGGAAUUGCGUUGGAGACUGCAAGGCUGGAGUCUGGCAGAGGGGGGUAGAAUUCCACGUGUAGCAGUGAAAUGCGUAGAUAUCGAGAGGAACACCAGUGGCGAAGGCGAGUCCCUGGACACUUCCUGACACUGAGGCACGAAAGCUAGGGGAGCAAACAGG